ACCUGGUUGAUCCUGCCAGGUGUCAUAUGCUUGUCUCAAAGAUUAAGCCAUGCAUGAGUCAGUUCACGCUGAUUAAUAGCAAAACUGCGGACGGCUCAUUACAACAGUACUAAUCUACUUGGCUGUACAAAUAGUAAAAGGAUAACUGCCGCAAUUCGGGAGCUAAUACUUGCUAAAAGCAUCGCAAGAUGUGUUUUUCCUUUCCUUAAGUCGAUCACCUUUGGUGUCUUCUGAGGAAUCAAGGGAACUUAACGGACCUUAUGCUUCGGCGAAGGUCGGCCAUUCGAGGUACUGACUUAUCAAUUUGUUGGUUCGGUAUUGGCGAACCGUGAUUGUAACGAGUAACGGGGAAUCAGGGUUCGAUUCCGGAGAGGCGGCCUGAGAAACGGCCGGCACAUCUAAGGAAGGCAGCAGGCGCGUAAAUUACCCACUGCAGACUCUGCGAGGUAGUGACAAGAAAUAACGAGGCGUUGCCUUUCAUAGGCGUCGCUAUCGGAAUGAGAGCAGCAUAAAUCGCUCAUCGAGUAUCAAUUGAAGGGAAAGUCUGGUGCCAGCAGCCGCGGUAAUUCCAGCUUCAAUAGCGUAUACUUAAGUUGUUGUGGUUGAAGAGCUCGUAGUCGUAAUUGUGGACGAUCCAGUUGUAGUGUUACUCCUUUUGGGGGUUUCGCUUAAGGACUGUGGUCUCCUUCUUAAGAUGUUUGGGGGCUGGUGUUAUUAGCUUAGCGUCAGUCAACUGCAUCGUGUUUACCUUGAAUAAAUCGGAGUGCUCAAAGCAGGCUUUACGCUUGAACGAUUGUGCAUGGGAUAAUGGAACAGGGCGUCUCGACCCUUUCAUUGGUUUAAGUUGAGACGUAAUGAUAGAUAGGAACGGUCGGCGCGAUUCGUACGAGAGAGUGAAAGGUGAAAUUUUUAGAUCUCUCUCAGACGAACAGAUGCGAAGGCGUUUCGCGAGAACGUUUUCAUUGAUCAAGAGCGAAAGAAGCAGGUUCGAAAACGAUUAGAUACCGUUGUAGUUGCUUCCGUAAACGAUUUAGACUUGCGAUUGGUAAGGUUCAUUUUUGGCCUUAUCAGCAGCUUCCGAGAAAUCAAAGUUUUUGUAGCCCAGGGGGAGUAUGGUUGCAAAGCUGAAACUUAAAGAAAUUGACGGAAGGGCACCACCAGGCGUGGAGCCUGCGGCUUAAUUUGACUCAACACGGGACAACUUGCCCGGCCCGGACACAGUGAUGAUUGACAGAUUGAGAGCUCUUUCUUGAUUCUGUGGGUGGUGGUGCAUGGCCGUUCUUAGUCGGUGGAGUGAUUUGUCUGGUUAAUUCCGAUAACGGACGAGACUCUGACGUGCUAAAUACGCAAGCUUGAGCUUUUUGCCAGGUAUUGCGUUCUUAGACGGAUUGGCUACAUUGAAAUAGCAUGAAAUAGAGCUAUAACAGGUCUGUGAUGCCCUUAGAUGUUCGGGACCGCACGCGCGCUACAAUGAAUAGGUCAAUAGGAUUUAGCUGAAGCGAGAGCUUGACUUCGGUCAUAUCGGCGAAUCGAACAAACCUGUUCAUGCUUGGGAUAGUUGCUUGUAAUUCUUCAACUUGAACGAGGAAUGCCUAGUAAUGAUGAGUCAUCAGCUCAUCGUGAUUACGUCCCUGCCCUUUGUACACACCGCCCGUCGCUAGUACCGACUAGUUGGCUUAGUGAGUCACAUGGAGUUGAGAGAGCAGAGGGGCAACCUGAACUCUAUUCGGCAAAGUCUGGCGAACUGAACCAACCGGAGGAACUAAAAGUCGUAACAAGGUCUCCGUAGGUGAACCUGCGGAAGGAUC
rnacentral:rRNA from 1 species